rnacentral:tRNA from 1 species
GUGGGUAUAGCUCAGCUGGUAGAGCGCCGGAUUGUGGCUCCGAAGGUCGUGGGUUCGAAACCCAUUACCCACACCA